rnacentral:other from 1 species
CGGUGGCUGCGGUGUGCGACCGGUCUUUUCAUCCCUGGGGCCAACAGUGAUCUCGCCGGGAGCCGUCCCUGCCGAACCCGUGGGUUCGGCACAUGGCGCCCACCUGCUGAUGCAGGCCACAGAGGAUCACAUGACCGUCGGCUCUCGCGGCGCCGUC